CCUACGGGUGGCUGCAGUGGGGAAUUUUGGACAAUGGGGGCAACCCUGAUCCAGCCAUGCCGCGUGAGUGAAGAAGGCCUUCGGGUUGUAAAGCUCUUUCGGCCGGGAAGAAAUCGCGCCAGCUAAUACCUGGUGUUGAUGACGGUACCGGAAGAAGAAGCACCGGCUAACUACGUGCCAGCAGCCGCGGUAAUACGUAGGGUGCGAGCGUUGAUCGGAAUUACUGGGCGUGAUUCUUGAACAGGCGGGUGAAAGCCCCGGGCUUAACCUGGGAACUGCGCUUGUGACUGCAAGACUUGAGUGCGGCAGAGGGGGGUGGAAUUCCACGUGUAGCAGUGAAAUGCGUAGAGAUGUGGAGGAACACCGAUGGCGAAGGCAGCCCCCUGGGUCGACACUGACGCUCAUGCACGAAAGCGUGGGGAGCAAACAGGAUUAGAUACCCUAGUAGUC
rnacentral:rRNA from 1 species